rnacentral:lncRNA from 1 species
UUCAGGGUUCGUUUGUCCUUUUUAUAAACUAAUUGAGUUUCAUAGGCAUUUAAUGUCCAUAAUUCAAAUCUAGACAACGAAUACAUGCUCCAGUUCACCGAAAUGCCUAGAAAAAUUAUACAUGUGUCCUUGGGUGCAUAUUUAGGUCCCAUGCCAGGAAUGGGAAUGAAUUACAAUAGUACUGGUGUCAUGGCUCGUCCUCAAACAUUUUGAAUCUCGGCUUUUAAGUCCCCAUAAAUCCUAAACUCACCAGAAAGUCAUUAAAGGUUGCAUGGUGUCACGUCAUGGCACAUAUACAUCAUGGUAAAAACAUUGUCCAACUAGAUAAUACCCCACGCGUUGCCGCAUGAAUUUUUGAAGGAUAUAAAACAUACAUGAGUAGAUCCAUCCCAACAAAUAUGUUUUUAAGUGUAAUAGAUAAUAUAUUGUAUUUUAUCAUAAAAAAAUAUAAUAUCAUGCACAUUUCCAAAGAUGAUAUAAUCAUAGCUACUUCUGAGGGGCACGAAUUUCACGUUAGAGAUAACGAUACUAUCAAUUCAGCAUGUACAAUAUGAUUUUUCAUAUGGAUUUGCAUGAAUUGUACCUUUGCACCGAUCAUUAAUUAAGGUAAAUUGUGCCAAAAAAAGUGCAUCACUCUACAUGAACUCUCAUAUUUUUUAGGGAUGGUAAAAGAAUGGCGCUCUUCGGAGCAUUACAUAACUGACAAAAAAGAAUGAACAUAAUCUGCAAAAUGUAAAACAUAGGUACCAAACUUUGUGUUCAGUUUAUCUAAGGAAGGGACAUUGCUACUUGCAUGGUUAAAAAUAGACAGUAAAUAAUAUAGUUUGUGAAUAGACUAUAAAUAAUUUAUUUUGGGGCAUUCAAAGACAUAUUUAUACAAUGAACAAAGGGACAAAUAGUCCUUUACAACUAAAAAAUAAUAAUGGCUACCAAUUCAGCAAGUAAUCAGUUGAACUUACCUUAUCUGUUACAUACCUCCAAAUUUCUGUAAUAAAACACCAAGAAAAUGACUCCCUGAUAUAUGCAUGAUCUGAAUUUCAGACAGAGAUUGACAAAAGGUCAGCCCAAUAAUAAAUAAAAUGAUUGGCGGGAUAAUGAUGAAAAGGUAAGUCUGCAUGCCUUCUUUUUGAGCUGCACGCAUGUCAUCUAGAUGGAGAAAGGGAGAAAACAAUUAGCAAGAACACUCUUCACUUCAGGAUAGAAUUUACUUGCAUGCAGGCACAUAGAUUAAAGGCUUACAAAGAGAGUAUGCAAAUGCUACCGUCAAAGGAUACUGGAGCAGGAGGCGAUGGGAGAACCUGCUUGUCACUCGGCUCCGAUCUCAAAUGCCCCCAGCUUUGAAUUCACUCAACUUGCAUGCGAUCCAAUCUCGGCCAUGACAGCUCGCCUCUUGCUCAUCCGGAUCACCGAAUUCUUCUC